rnacentral:misc_RNA from 1 species
CCGUUCUGAGAGUCUCCCGACCCGCCAGACAUCCUCCUCUAACCUCUUCCAACCUCCUCCACAAUCCUCCAACCGUUUCACGGUGGAGGGCUUUGGGUUGAAUCGCCGAGAGGCGCCGGAAAGAGAGCUACAGUACGAGUACACAAUAUAUGUGAACCGACGCGUACGAAAGGGCGGACCACAGCACCUAGCCCAUAGCCCACAGCUAGCCCACAGUCUGGCAAGGUUAGCUAACCACGACGGCUCUUGACCUUUCGAAACAUGGGCCUUUUUGCACAUAUUACCCCUGUUCUCUCCAUCGUAUCGCACUCUGCGCCCCUCUCUACAAGUAACCCAGGCGUGUGCCCGUACUCGUUACUCGAUACACUCGAGCACACCAGACGAUACCCCGAGUCGACUCGCUAAGAACUCCCUCUUUCCUCAAUCACACCUUCGGUUCACUCGGUCUCCGCGCACAUUGUCACAACAACGUUUUGGCCCACAUGCCAUCUACAGCCGGGGAUACAAACAGACUCUGGAUCCAAACCCUCCCUCUCUGGCGGGGCCGUGGAUUGCCGUCACCAGACUGGGAUAAUAAUCUCACCCGCGGUCUGUAUCGAGUCUCCAGACUCGCCAUGGCCUGUGUGUGGGACGCUUCGCGAUGUUCGGUCCAAAGGAGUGUGGACCAGAAGCGUCUCUGGCCGCGUCGUCGGAGCUUCUGCAUGUACCAUCGGCGACCAUGCUUUUCCACCAGCGGGUUCAGUGCAUGUGUCCAACCGUUUUGUGUUUACUGGGGGGGGCUCUGAGUAAUGGCAUCCGACGGAGGGAUGUGCAACAUGUGUGUACAGUAGUAGAGACUGGAGGCGAGUGUGGUGUUGGCGUGAAUGUGGGUGAUAUUUUUUCAACCGUGCCUGUUUUUUCGUUUUUUUGAGCUUUUAAGCUGGCAGAAAACUGACUAAAACCGUAGAUUUGGCAAAAGCAAAAGAG